CAAAAGCGCAUGUGCUGUGAGCUCGAUGAGUAGGGCGGGACACGUGGUAUCCUGUCUGAAUAUGGGGGGACCAUCCUCCAAGGCUAAAUACUCCUGACUGACCGAUAGUGAACCAGUACCGUGAGGGAAAGGCGAAAAGAACCCCGGCGAGGGGAGUGAAAAAGAACCUGAAACCGUGUACGUACAAGCAGUGGGAGCCCCACCACUAAGCCAGUGGUGAACUCCACAUACGCAUCCUUUGCUGAGGAUGCGGUUAACGGAGCGAAAGCGACGUUCAACCGCAAAAGAAGCAGAGGGGGCUUAGUGGUGGGGUGACUGCGUACCUUUUGUAUAAUGGGUCAGCGACUUAUAUUCUGUAGCAAGGUUAACCGAAUAGGGGAGCCGGAGGGAAACCGAGUCUUAAUUGGGCGUUAAGUUGCAGGGUAUAGACCCGAAACCCGGUGAUCUAGCCAUGGGCAGGUUGAAGGUUGGGUAACACUAACUGGAGGACCGAACCGACUAAUGUUGAAAAAUUAGCGGAUGACCUGUGGCUGGGGGUGAAAGGCCAAUCAAACCGGGAGAUAGCUGGUUCUCCCCGAAAGCUAUUUAGGUAGCGCCUCGUGAAUUCAUCUCCGGGGGUAGAGCACUGUUUCGGCUAGGGGGCCAUCCCGGCUUACCAACCCGAUGCAAACUGCGAAUACCGGAGAAUGUUAUCACGGGAGACACACGGCGGGUGCUAACGUCCGUCGUGAAGAGGGAAACAACCCAGACCGCCAGCUAAGGUCCCAAAGUCAUGGUUAAGUGGGAAACGAUGUGGGAAGGCCCAGACAGCCAGGAUGUUGGCUUAGAAGCAGCCAUCAUUUAAAGAAAGCGUAAUAGCUCACUGGUCGAGUCGGCCUGCGCGGAAGAUGUAACGGGGCUAAACCAUGCACCGAAGCUGCGGCAGCGA
rnacentral:rRNA from 1 species